GGUUUGUAUAAAGGUCUUCGUUAGKUUGUAGGUUUUAUAAACCGAGACAAAUUGUAAAUCGAAAACACAACAARGGAAGAAGUAGAAGGACUUCAACACGAAACGUUCAGACUUUAUGGGUUUUAAGUUCCUCCGACGGAGCUCCAGUAAAAUCAGAAGAUCCCUGGGUUCUUUGCGGCGAAGGAGAUCUUCCAGAGAUGACAGAAAUCAGGCACAGAUUCGAAGGACUGGGAGUCGCUCAGGACAAGCUUUUGGACAAGACAACAGAGGAGCAUCAAAAGAAAUUGGAACUGCUUUGAGAGCAAUUGGAGAUGAAUUAAAYAAUAGUAGACUAAGCCUUGUAUCAACUCAGUCAAAGUCAUGACAAACAUUCCUACAGAACCAGUAGAGAUCAUUUAGCUGUGAUGAAGAACAGAAGAUACAUGAACAUGCACAUUGAARAAUGUAAUUGAACAUGGAUAGCGCACAUACUUACAUAAACAAACAAGCUUGGAAUCUGAAGGCACAAGGUCGAACRCUCUUCUUAGAAAGUGAAAUUGCAAAAAAGAUGAAUGUAAAUUUACUCAUUAGCAAGCUGCUAAAGUGUUGUAGCUUAUAAAUACGCUAAUAAUUGCUUAUUAGCUCAUCAUUGGAAGAAACAAUUCCCAGYWUAAAAUUGUCUUGAACUGAGGAAUCAAUGAGAAAAGGACCACAUACAAAAGUUACUGAUUUGAAAUGUUAGUUUUCACAUGCAUGAACUACUGAUAAUUAUUAAUUUAAAAAAAUAUGUUAAUAUAUAUUGUAUUUAUUUAUAACUUUUGCAGAUGUACAAAUAAAAUUAAUUAUAAAAACAAA